UCCCGUUCUCGAGUUCAUAAUGGUGGAAACUGUAACAGUUAGUUUGCUUAGAGAUUUUUUGCCCUUAGGGUCAAAGUUGAAAAUUCCCUGCAAGAAUUCGUAAAUUACUUCCAUAUUGUUAAGUGAUAUAUGCUAUGAAAAAAUAAGUCUAACCACAUGACCCAAUUAUUGCCAUAUUCGUACCCAGUCUUCUAUUGUUUACUCCUGAACAUUUAUAUAAUUUAUGUACUCCGUUUUCUAAUAUUCAAAUAGGAAAACAACUCAUUAGAGUUAAGUGUCUCAUUGUUUGUAAAACAUGGUUAAAAGUUAGGGCUGUCAUUGAUUAUCGCGAUAUCGAUAUAUCAUCAAUAUUCAUCAUCCGAUACAAUAUCGAUACACACUUUCACAUAUCGAUACAAACUGAAAAAAUUAAUAUUUCUGUUAGUUUAACUAUACCUAUCUAUUUUGGCUCAUAAGAGAAGUCACUUUUUUCUUGGUUAACUUGAACUUUAAACUCCGUUUUCAAAUGUCAGUGACAAGAAUAACAGUAAAAGAACUUUCUGCUAGUUUGUAGUAUUUGAAAUGUGUAAUACAAGUAUGCAAAACAGUGAUAACACCAUGAUCCCAAUUUAUAACACAUAUAUAAAAUUAAUGUUUUUUAUUGUAUCCACUGUCUGUGAAAGUCCAUAUAUCGAUGUAUCGUGACGUCGAUAUUUGUCUCUCGAUAUAUCAAUACAAAAUUUGCCAUCAAUGACAGCCCUAUUAAAAGUGUAUAUUAUGCAUAAUACUAAUGUCUCCCUGGAUUAGAAAAUUCCCCAUGAAUGCUUGGUGUAUAUUAUGUUAAAUUCUCAAUUUGAGUGCAUGCUAUGCAUUUUUCCCAAUUUGUUUGGUACCAGGCACGAUUAACAAAGUAGGGGGGAAAAUGCUGACACUGGGACCAGUGACUUUUCAUAGCAAUCAGUGACUGCUAAGUAGCAAUCUAUGACUUUACAAAGCAACCAAUGACUCCCAUAGCAACCAUUUACUUUCCAUAGCAACUAGUGAUAUUUCAUACUAACUGGAGACUGCCAUAGCAACCAUGACUUUCCAUGAUGAAAUUGACUUCCCUUAAUAAACAGUAAUUUCCAUAACAACCCUUGAAAUACAUUUCUCAAGAACAUGUACCUAUUAUUUCUACCAGCAUCAACUUGAUCCUUAGUAACCAGUGGUAUCCAUAGCAACUAGUGACUUAUUUUCCAAAGCAACCUUUAUCUUUCCAUAGCAACUGUUGGCUUUCUUUUCUUUUCAUAUCAGUUACAGACUUUUCAUAAGAACCAGUGACUUCCAUAGCAAAAUUUUAUUUUCUAUAGCAACCAGUACCAUUGACUUUCAUAGCAACCUGCUGGUCAGCCGGAAUGGUAGCCACUGCAGCCUUUACUACCAGUAAAGAGCCAGGCUUUAUUGUUAGCUAACAAAAUUGAUAAUGGAAGUUUUAUAAAUGAAAGCUAGACAAAGUCUAUUUCAGAAAUUUAGCAGGUUUAGCAUUUAUCUGUAUUUAUUUACUCUUAUUAUUUUCCUAAAAUUUAAAUACUAUAACACAAUUGAAUUAGUUUGUAAUGGUACAACAGUUAAAAAAUAGUUGCUUAAAAUUUCAGGGUCCAAGCCUGUAAACUGAGCCAAGCAAAAUAGAUGUGAUGGAGGAGACAAGUGAUAACAAACUAAUCAAAAGAAGAAAAUGUCAUAUCUUGGAUAAAAAUGGUUACCUUCAACAACUAGAUAUAUUGGUCACAGUUAAAUUAAAUAUUGUUGUCAAGAAGAUUUUCCCUAUUCAUCGUAGAGGAGCAGAAACAUGUUUGGAUGGAACAUGUGCUUAAACUUUGCAUAAGUUUUGUUGAAACUUUCAUUUGAUAUACUGAAGAUGGUUGUUGAAUAUUGUUUGUUAACAAUAUCUAUAUGGCCGUAUGGCUGUAAAGAGAGAUGUUGAAAGGUGCAAUUUUAGUGCAAAAAUGUGCAUGUUUAACAACAUGUUGAAUGAACAAACAUUAUAAUGCAGUAAAACACUAGGAAUCAUUAUGUUUUCAAAACUUUAUAACAACUUAGUAAAUGUGUUGGAAUGUCCAUAUAUCCAUCCACCAAAAGGAGGUAUCUACAUGUUAGUGAAACUUAAUACAUUAUAGAUGGAUAAAUCUCAUUGGGGAGAAAUGAUGUGUUGAAUUUUAAUAUGCCCGAAACAAUUUCGGGCAUAUUAUGUUAUACCCCCUGGCAUCUGUUCCUCCGUACGAACCCAGAGGUACUUGUGUGACUGGGUAACAGUAUAUAAAUAACACAUGGGUUUGUUGGUAACUGUAAAAAUAUCAUCCCGAGGAAAAUACUGUUACCCGAGGAUGAUUGUCCAUAUUAUUAAUAGGUAGAAGACACCUAUUGAUUUUGAGGUCACAAGAUCAAAGGUCAAGAACUGAAAACAGUUUCCGGAGCAUAACUUAAGUUCCAUUUGGCACACAGUGUUCAAACUUCAUAGUAUGAUUGUCCAUAUUGGGUAGAAGACCUCUAUUGAUUUUGGGGUCACAAGGUCAAGGUCACUAUUGCCUUAAAACUGAAAACAGUUACCGGAGCAUAACUUAAGUUCCAUUUGGCCCACAGUGUUCAAACUUCAUAGGAUGAUUGUCCAUAUUGGGUAGAAAAUCCCUAUUGAUUUUGGGGUCACAAGGUCAAAGGUCAAGGUCAUUAUUACUUUAAAACUGAAAACAGUUUCCGGAACAUAACUUAAGUUUCAUUUGGCCCACAAUAUAAAAACUUCAUAGGAUGAUUGUCCAUAUUGGGUAGAAGACCCCUAUUGAUUUUGGGGUCACAAGGUCAGAGGUCAAGAUCAUUAUUACUUUAAAACUGAAAACAGUUUCCGGAACAUGACUUAAGUUCCAUUUGGCACACAGUAUUCAAACUUUAUAGGAUGAUUGGCCAUAUUGGGUAGAACACCACUAUUGAUUUUGGGAUCACAAGGUCAGAGGUCAAGGUCACUAUUACUUUAAAAGUGAAAACAGUUUCCGGAGAAUAACUUAAGUUCCAUUUCGCCUAGCGGUGCUCUUGUUAGUUUUCAGCUCAAUUUUUUUUAAGAAUAAAAGAGUGUGAGCUAUUGCUAUGUACAGUCAUGCCUUACUUUCUUGUUGUCAUCCUAAAACUUUAACAUUUUCUUCACAACAACCCUUUUGACAAGACCUUCAAGUAGACCAGACUGAACUUGAGUCUUAAAAUAUCUUGACCUUCCAAGUCACGGUGUCAAAUGUUUAAACUAUCAAUUUUGCUUGAUAUUUGCUUUAUUUGGCUGUAACUUUGUUAUUCUUUUUAGCUCACCUGAGCUUGCUCAGGGUGAGCUUUUUAGGAUCGUUUAAUGUCCGUUGUCCGUCCAAAUUUGUUCGUUAACACUCUUGCGGUCACAUUUUUACCUCAAUCAUCAUCAAAUUUUGUCACGAUGCUUGUCUAUGUAAUUGCUUAUAUGCGUUUGAACAUGGGUCAUCUCAGAUGAAAAACUAGGUCACAGGAGCUAAAAAUAGAAAAAUCUUGUUAACACUCUAAUGGCUACUGUUUUCAUCCAAAUAUCCUGGACUGAAAGUUUGUUUUGAUGAUUUUUAUGUCAAAUUUGAAUAUGGGUCACCUGGGGUCAAAAACUAGGUCACACUGCUCAAAUAUGGAAAAUCCUUGUUAACACUCUAGUGGUCACAUGUUUGACUCACCUGUCAUAAAACUUGGUCAGGAUGCUUGUCUAGGUAAUUGCUCGGAUGAGUUCAAACAUGUGUCAUCUCAGAUGAAAUACUAGGUCACAGGAGUUUAAUAUAAUAUGGGUUUGAUGGGUCAGGUGAGCGAUCUAGGGCCAUUUUGGCCCUCUUGUUGGCUGUAACUUUGUAAGUAAUCAAUGGAGUAUUUCAAACUUAGACAAAACAACCAUUUGGACAAGACAUGCUGAAAUGUUGAACAGACCUUGACCCUGAGCUUUAAAUCACAUUGACUGUCAAGUUCAAAUUAUUGAAUUUUGGUUAAGUUGUCAUGAGGGAAUGGUUCCCUCUUGCCAGUAACAUGGCUCUAAAUUUCUAUAUUACUGCAUUUUAUUCUAUCAAAUUGUUAUACAUGUAUCUGUUUUGUUAAGGGGAACGGUUCCACUUUAGAAAGUUUGUUUUAGAUAAGUUUUGAAAUUUAUUUUUUAUUUUGAGGAGGGAAUGGUUCCCUCUUACUGGUAACCUGGCUCUAAAUUUCUAAAUUAUUGCAUUUUAUUCUAUCAAAUUGUUAUAUCUAUUUUGUUAAGGGGGAACAGUUCCACUUUAGAAAAUGUGUCAUAUAUAAGUUUUGAAAUUUAUUUUUUAUUUCGGUGAGGGAAGGGUUCCCUCUUACCAUUUACAUGGCUCUCAAUUUCUAAAUUAUUGCAUUAAUUGUUAUAUCUGUUUUGUUAAGGGGGAACAGUUCCACUAUAGAAAAUGUGUCAUAUAUAAGUUUUAAAAUUUAUUUUUUAUUUCGGUGAGGGAAGGGUUCCCUCUUACCGUUUACAUGGCUCUCAAUUUCUAAAUUAUUGCAUUAAUUGUUAUAUCUGUUUUGUUAACGGGGAACGGUUCCACUUUAGAAAAUUGGUAAGUGAUAAGUUUUGAAAUUUAUUUUUUAUUUUGAUGAGGGAACGGUUCCCUCUUACGGGUAACCUUGCUCUAAAUUUCUAAAUUAUUGCAUUUUAUUCUAUCAAAUUGUUAUAUCUAUUUUGUUAAGGGGGAACGGUUCCACUUUAGAAAAUUGGUAAGUGAUAAGUUUUGAAAUUUAUUUUUUAUUUUGAUGAGGGAACGGUUCCCUCUUAUGGGUAACCUUGCUCCAAAUUUCUAAAUUAUUGCAUUUUAUUCUAUCAAAUUGUUAUUUCUGUUUUGUUAAGGGGGAACGGUUCCAUUUUAGAAAAUGUAUCAUACUUAAGUUUUUAAAAAAAAAAAUUAUUUCGAUGAGGGAACGGUUCCCUCUUACCAUUUACAUGGCUCUGAAUUUCUAAAUUAUUGCAUUUUAUUCUAUCAAAUUGUUAUAUCUGUCUUGUUAAGGGGGAACGGUUCCACUCUAGAAAAUGUGUUAUAAAUAAGAUUUGAAAUUUAUUUUCUAUUUCGAUGAGGGAACGGUUCCCUCCUACCGGUAACAUGGCUCUAAAAUUCUAAAUUAUUGCAUUUUAUUCUAUCAAAUUUUUGAACCUGUUUUGUUAAGGGGGAACGGUUCCACUUUAGAAAAUGUGUAAGAGAUAAGUUUUGAAAUUUAUUUUUUAUUUCGAUGAGGGAACGGUUCCCUCUUACCGGUAACAUGGCUCUAAAUUUCUAUAUUACUGCAUUUCAUUCUAUCAAAUUGUUAUACAUGUACCAGUUUUGUUAAGGGGGAACGGUUCCACUUUAGAAAAUUUGUUAUAGAUAAGUUUUGAAAUUUAUUUUUUAUUUCAAUGAGGGAACGGUUCCCUCUUACCGGUAACAUGGCUCUCAAUUUCUAUAUUACUGCAUUUCAUUCUAUCAAAUUGUUAUUUCUGUUUUGUUAAGGGGGAACGGUUCCAUUUUAGAAAAUGUAUCAUACUUAAGUUUUUAAAAAAAAAAUUAUUUCGAUGAGGGAACGGUUCCCUCUUACCAUUUACAUGGCUCUGAAUUUCUAAAUUAUUGCAUUUUAUUCUAUCAAAUUGUUAUUUCUGUUUUGUUAAGGGGGAACGGUUCCAUUUUAGAAAAUGUAUCAUACUUAAGUUUUUAAAAAAAAAAUUAUUUCGAUGAGGGAACGGUUCCCUCUUACCAUUUACAUAGCUCUGAAUUUCUAAAUUAUUGCAUUUUAUUCUAUCAAAUUGUUUUAUCUGUCUUGUUAAGGGGGAACGGUUCCACUCUAGAAAAUGUGUUAUAAAUAAGAUUUGAAAUUUAUUUUCUAUUUCGAUGAGGGAACGGUUCCCUCUUACCGGUAACAUGGCUCUAAAUUUCUAUAUUACUGCAUUUCAUUCUAUCAAAUUGUUAUACAUGUACCAGUUUUGUUAAGGGGGAACGGUUCCACUUUAGAAAAUUUGUUAUUAGAUAAGUUUUGAAAUUUAUUUUUAUUUCAAUGAGGGAACGGUUCCCUCUUACCGGUAACAUGGCUCUCAAUUUCUAUAUUACUGCAUUUCAUUCUAUCAAAUUGUUAUUUCUGUUUUGUUAAGGGGGAACGGUUCCAUUUUAGAAAAUGUAUCAUACUUAAGUUUUUAAAAAAAAAUUAUUUCGAUGAGGGAACGGUUCCCUCUUACCAUUUACAUGGCUCUGAAUUUCUAAAUUAUUGCAUUUUAUUCUAUCAAAUUGUUAUUUCUGUUUUGUUAAGGGGGAACGGUUCCAUUUUAGAAAAUGUAUCAUACUUAAGUUUUUUAAAAAAAAAUUAUUUCGAUGAGGGAACGGUUCCCUCUUACCAUUUACAUGGCUCUGAAUUUCUAAAUUAUUGCAUUUUAUUCUAUCAAAUUGUUUUAUCUGUCUUGUUAAGGGGGAACGGUUCCACUCUAGAAAUGUGUUAUAAAUAAGAUUUGAAAUUUAUUUUCUAUUUCGAUGAGGGAACGGUUCCCUCCUACCGGUAACAUGGCUCUUAAAUUAUUGCAUUUUAUUCUAUCAAAUUUUUGAACCUGUUUUGUUAAGGGGGAACGGUUCCACUUUAGAGAAUGUGUAAGAGAUAAGUUUUGAAAUUUAUUUUUUAUUUCGAUGAGGGAACGGUUCCCUCUUACCGGUAACAUGGCUCUAAAUUUCUAUAUUACUGCAUUUCAUUCUAUCAAAUUGUUAUACAUGUACCAGUCUUGUUAAGGGGGAACGGUUCCACUUUAGAAAAUUUGUUAUAGAUAAGUUUUGAAAUUUAUUUUUUAUUUCAAUGAGGGAACGGUUCCCUCUUACCGGUAACAUGGCUCUCAAUUUCUAUAUAACUGCAUUUCAUUCUAUCAAAUUGUUAUACAUGUACCAGUCUUGUUAAUGGGGAACGGUUCCACUUUAGAAAAUUUGUUAAAGAUAAGUUUUGAAAUUUAUUUUUUAUUUCAAUGAGGGAACGGUUCCCUCUUACUGGUAACAUGGCUCUCAAUUUCUAUAUUACUGCAUUUCAUUCUAUCAAAUUGAAUACAUGUACCACCAACUGUUUUGUUAAGGGGGAACGGUUCCACUUUAGAAAAUUUGUUAUAGAUCAGUUUUGAAAUUUUUUUUUUAUUUUGAGGAGGGAACGGUUCCCUCUUACCAUUUACAUGGCUCUAAAUUUCUAAAUUAUUGCAUUUUAUUCUAUCAAAUUGUUAUAUCUAUUUUGUUAAGGGGGAACGGUUCCCCUUUAGAAAAUAUGUUAUGAUAAGUUAUGAAAUUUAAUUUUUAUUUCGAUGAGGGAAUGGUUCCCCCUUAAGCAUAAUGUAUCUCUUAUUACUGAAAAAUUGCUUUUUAUUGAUCAAAACAUGUUGUAUUCUGUACAUGGCUUUUUUUCUUCGGGGGAACGGUUCCCCCGAAAACAUUUGCAAAAGAAAAAAAAAAUAAAAUUUGGAUGUUUA